rnacentral:rRNA from 1 species
UACGGGGGGAGCAAGCGUUGUUCGGAUUUACUGGGCGUAAAGGGCGCGUAGGCGGCGCAACAAGUCACUUGUGAAAUCUCCGGGCUUAACUCGGAAAGGUCAACUGAUACUGUGCGACUAGAGUGCAGAAGGGGCAACUGGAAUUCUCGGUGUAGCGGUGAAAUGCGUAGAUAUCGAGAGGAACACCUGCGGCGAAGGCGGGUUGCUGGGCUGACACUGACGCUGAUGCGCGAAAGCCAGGGGAGCGAACGGG